UGUGAGCUAGGAUGCCUUGUUGCCACUACAA
rnacentral:piRNA from 1 species